rnacentral:lncRNA from 1 species
CCAGAAUGAGCAAGUACAAUGAUUGUUUUUUAUUCAGUUUCUGAGGGGUGAACAUGGUAAAAUUAUUUGUUCUUGUGGAUAGAUAUGAUGCUUGUUGGAACUUUCUGCAAUGAGCUUAAACAGUGAGUUGAUAUGCUACCUUCCCAUCAGUGUGAUGUGUAAGACAAUAUGAGACAUGAGUGUAGUUAUGAAAUCAAUCAUGUUUUAUUUAACUGCAAUAUGGCAUGAAUCCAAUAGGGAGAUAUGAUAAACACCCUUAAUGCCAAGUCUUACAAUGUAAGAUUAUCCAUUAUACUUGUGUGAUGGUGGUGAUUAUUGACAAUCCUUACCUUUUGUUCACAGUAACAUUCUAGAUUUUUUUUAUUAGGCAGCACUAGCUUUCGCCUUUCACAAAGGACUUGGUUUCUUGUCAUUAUGUAAUUUAUGUGAAUUAUUAAACUGAAGUGAGCUUACUUGGUUUUCUAUUUCGGGCUGAAGCAAGCUUGAUCGUGAAUACCAACUUUCGCAUCUUCAAAUAAAUUGGAUCAUAGUACUUGUAGACCAACAUGUAGGAGGGAAAGUAGACAAUAUUUAUCAGUGUUUCCAAAAGCAUGUAAGG